GCGUUAGCAAAAUCUAACGUCAGGAUUGGAACCCUGAAUUUACAAACGGCGACACAUGACGCGCCACGCGUCUUUUUU
rnacentral:sRNA from 1 species